ACCUCAUGAGAAAUUAAUCGACUCACCAUUCUCAACUUUCGUACACACCUCACAAGACAGAUUGAUACAAAAUCCUCAAUUACAAGCCCACUUGCUAUGUAGAGCCACAUUUUAAUUACUUUUUUCUUUUUCUUUUUUGACCAAACACAUGUGAAUUACUUUGUUAACCGUGAAGCUGAAACCUCCAUAAACCUUUGUGAUA
rnacentral:lncRNA from 1 species